rnacentral:rRNA from 1 species
GUGAACGCUGGCGGUAGGCCUAACACAUGCAAGUCGCACGGCAGCACAGGAGAGCUUGCUCUCUAGGUGGCGAGUGGCGGACGGGUGAGGAAUACAUCGGAAUCUGCCCAGUCGUGGGGGAUAACGUAGGGAAACUUACGCUAAUACCGCAUACGACCUUCGGGUGAAAGAGGGGGAUCGCAAGACCUCUCGCGAUUGGAUGAGCCGUUGUCGGAUUAGCUAGUUAGCGGGGUAAUGGCCCACCAAGGCGACGAUCCGUAGCUGGUCUGAGAGGAUGAUCAGCCACACUGGAACUGAGACACGGUCCAGACUCCUACGGGAGGCAGCAGUGGGGAAUAUUGGACAAUGGGCGCAAGCCUGAUCCAGCCAUACCGCGUGGGUGAAGAAGGCCUUCGGGUUGUAAAGCCCUUUUGUUGGGAAAGAAAUCUUUCAGGCUAAUACCCUGGGAGGAUGACGGUACCCAAAGAAUAAGCACCGGCUAACUUCGUG